rnacentral:pre_miRNA from 1 species
AAUAAGUUCAUUUUUUCAGUUUUUAGAUAUAAUAUUUUGACUCUUCGUUUUAUUAAAAUUUUUUACGAUUAAUACUUUUAUUAUCACUAGAUGAUAAAACAUAAAUAGUAUUUUAUAUGUGACUAAUUUUUUUUUAAGUUUUUUACAAAAUUUUCAAAUAAGACAAAUGCUCAAACAUUGGAUACAGAAAUUUAAA